GCCUGGUGGAGAUGCCGCUUGAAUGCGCAGGCCUUGGCCAUGCUCCGGUGCAGUGCAGGGACUGGGUGUAAGGCAGAGUGGUCCCAGGCCAGGCCUGAAAGCAGAGGGAGUGAGCAGGGCAGAGUACUGGGGACCUGUCCCCCAUAGGGGGUAAGCAGGAGGCAGAGUCCCUGGUGAGUGGGACUCCAGAUCCUUUUGUUCAAAGGAACCCCAUUCUUUUAGGGAGGCUGGGACCUUGGGGCGUCUCUGCCCACGGAGCUCCUUCCUCCCUUUAGUACUGAGAGUAGAGAGAGAAGCUACAGGGAGAAAGACUGACAGUGACACACAGAUUAGCGGGAAGAAAGUGAGAAGAUGAGGGAACACACUGAGAGGGACAGGAAAGAAGAGAAAGGAAGAAGGGAAAAGGAAAGAAGAGGGGAGAGAGUGAGAGAGGAAAGGAGAGAGAGGGAAAGCCCAGAGUGAUGAAGGGAGGAAGAAGGGAGAGAGGAACUGAGAGGGGGACACUGGAGAGGAAGAGAGGGAGCAGAGUGUGCACCGGAGGCCCUGCCCUGGUGAGCGCCUAGGAGGGGUUUGGCGUGGGGUUCCGGGCCAGCACUCACUACCCCGGUCCGAUCCGGAGAGAGCCAAGUUACUCAGAGGUGAAGGUGCUGGGCAGAGAAAUAUGUAAAUCAGGGCUCCUAGCGCCUCGGCGAGUGGCGCAAUUGCACCCCUUGAACAAGAAGCAACAAGCUCCCGGCGGCCGGUCUAAGUCCGCGUACUUAAAGCGGCGCGGGCGGGCGAAAGCGGGCGGGCGGCCCAGUCGGGCAGUGGCAGAUGCGCCCAGCGGUGGCAGCCACAGGCGGAGCACAGGUGACCGGCCUGCGGCGCAGCCUAGCCAGGAGGCGCCCCGGGAGAGCUGGCGGGAGAGGGAGGCAGAUCCACCCCCAGCGUGCGCUCGCUCGUGCUAGUCUCGGCGCCGGGAGCCGUCCCGGGGCGUGUUGGCGAGAGCUGAUAUAGAUAUAAGGACAUUUCUCUCCAUGGCGUCACGUGACAUAAUUACCA
rnacentral:lncRNA from 1 species